GUCCGAUUGCCCUCCGCGUCCGGCUGCCAUGCGCUUCUCUGCGCGGGGCGCCGCGAGCGACUCUCCGUCUGACUGCCGCCCCGCGGCCCUCCACGUCCGACCGCCACGUGCUCCUCCGCGUCAGGCGCCGCGAGCGACUCUCCGCCCCGCAGCCCUCCACGGCCGCCACGCGCUCCUCCGCGCUGGGCGCCGCGAGCGACCCCUCCACUCCACGCCUUCCCACACAAGCCGCCGCCGGCCCUUCAUGCCGCGACAGGCAACGCGCUCAUGCCGCUAUACAGGACUGCGGCUAUUUAUGUUCAGAUCACAUGUUUUUUCUUUGAUCCGCUUCAUUCGGUUGUACAGGUUGAUGUGGUGACGGGUGAGAUGUAUGUCCAUGCGCUAUUCCACAGCCGCGUACUGAUAACCCAGGCCUUUAGAGAUUAACUGAGUGCCAUAUGUAUCGGCAACAACACAACAACCGUGCAGAAUCAUUGUAGUCAGAGAAGUCGAUGAGCAUAUUGCUUUCUCUGUUUUCAGAUAGUUUCCGAGCCCUCCUUCUCCAAGAUAAACUGAUAAAUAAAUCAUGUGCUGGCAGUGGUAUGAUAUUCAGGUUCGUACAUGUAUAUUUUCUAGGUUACUCUUAGCUUUCACACACCUAUAAAUUAUCUUGAUUUGUGUAUGCUUUGAUUACACAAUAGUGUAGUUAACAGAACUGAGUCAUAUUGAGCGGUUAGUUGAGUACCUAUAUCUAUAUGUGUGACAGCUCACAGCCAGGCAAGUUAUGUUCUGUCGUCGAAUAGAUAUUCAUAUGACUGAUUUGUGAACUUUAGCAUUUUGCAUUUAAUUGUGUCAUUUUUAAUGGUUAGUUAGGCUGAAUUGGCGAAUGAGUUGAUGACUGGGUUCAUGUGAUAAAUAAGCAUUUUUAAAGCUUGUGCUAUCACUUAUUUGAAUUCAUGAUUGCAGGAGUGUCUCAUGGCUUAAUAGUCGUUCAGGCACGUGCAAUUUUUAAGAGUGAAGUUAGGAGAAUAACUUCUUCUGGGUUGAGGUUUCAACAGAUUGAUUCAUUGGAGGGAUGCUGGUACAGUGGCCAUAUCUAUGGUAAGACGUAUGGGGUAAAAUUAGAAGUAGAUACCUUUUUGGUCUGCUGAAAUUUUACCCGUCUAAAGAAACUUGUGCAAGGAAUUCUUCUUCUUGCAGUUGCAGGACCAUGAGAUGUCGACGCUACACUGUGGACACACCAAUGUCCCAGCCAAGUCAGUGAUGCAGCCCCAACUCCUGAUUUCUUCAAGUUGAGGAAGCUGCGGCAGCCUGACUCCAUUCUGCCUAUUGCCGCCCUAUCCAAGCUGCUGCUAGGCAACUACUACUCCCGUUGGAUAGAUGAACCCUCUGACUAUCUACUUUAUGUUAUUCCCUUUGUGUUAUCCAAUUGCUCUUGAUAAUUUAAUGAUUCAAUCAAAUUUCACUGCAAAUCAUACUGGAUCAGGCUUUUCUUCUUUCUAAUUUCACCGGCAGACGCGCAGCAGCGCCGGCGAGCGC